AGGUUUUAUAGUGUAAUUAACAUAUUAGAUUGCAAAUCUAUAGAUGCAGAGUAAGACUUUGCUAAAACUUU
rnacentral:tRNA from 1 species